UGCCACCACCAUGUAAGAAGUGCCUUUUGCCUCCUGCCAUGAUUCCGAGGCCUCCCCAGCCAUGAGGGCCUGUUGUCGCUGCCCUCAACCUCCAGAUGCAGCCCCUUGCCACCUUCAGGACCCCUGGCUCUCCCUUCGACUCAGUAGCGAAAGGGUUUAUGUGCUCGGAGGGAGUCCUUCAGGAAUCUGUGCAUAGAAUGCCAUAGUGCAGAGGAAACAGCCCCAGAAAAUGGAACAGCUACUAAGUGAGACACCUCAGCCAGGCCAGAGAAUGUGCAUUCUGAUGGACAGCUUCUCAUUGGCACCGAUCACCGUCUUCUUUCUGAAACCAGCCCAACUUUUCUCCCAGAGAGUAUCAUGGAACUGAACUUUCAAGAUCAUGGCAUCUGGACAUCGAGACAACAGAACCCUCAUCCGGCCACCUGCUGCUUGCUGACUAAUUCCCAUAUAAACUGCUAACUUCAGUCAGUUGGAGAGAUGGAUUUAAGAUUUGCCUUCUGUCUCACAGCUGAUGUCACCAGCAAUAAAGCUUUCUUCCCUGGCAAUA